CAGGGAGUAUAAUUUCCAUUUCAUGUAUGAUAAAAUUGUGUAUCACUGAAAUCAUUAACAAAGAACUGGAAAUUGAAGGGAUGCCCAUGAACUGGGGAAUAGCUAAAUAAGUUGUGGUAUUUGAUUGUGGUGGAAUAUUACUGUGCUAUAAGAAAGGAUCAGUAGGUUAAUUUAAAAAAACAGAAAUAUCUACAUGAAAUUAUGGAGAAUGUAAUGAGCAAAUCCAAGAGAUUACAUACAACAACAGGAAUAUAAUUUGAAACAACUUGUACAUAUCUAUCUCCUGACAAAGAAAUAAACAAGGUAUAGUUAAAAUAUAUAUCUAUAUUACAUGUCUAUAUCGUUUCAUCAAAUGAUGUCUUUUCUAUUAGCGAGGGGGACUUUGAAGAAGAGGAGCCAAUGUUCAGCUAUUUGGGGAUUGGAUACAACGUGACACUUCCUGCCCUUUUCUCCAAGCUGAGUUGUUUCAAAUGAAUUCAGUCUGACUAGACUAAAGGAGUAAUACAAUUUUUGCCACAUAAAUUUGCGGUGGAGGGAGAUGAGAUGUGGGCUAAUUCUUCUGCUAAAAAAUGAUCCAUCUUUUUAUAAAAUUAAAAUUUAUUUAUUUGCUACAUUAAAACACCCAGAUUUUCCAGUUCAUGCUGUCCACUAUUAUAAUCAUUUGAGCUCUGUCUUUAUGGAUGAGAAGAGAUAA
rnacentral:lncRNA from 1 species